UAGGACAAUCCCUUAGUCUGUUUUAGGAGA
rnacentral:piRNA from 1 species